AAGCAUAUUAAUAAGCGGAGGAAAAGAAACUAACAAGGAUUCUCUUAGUAAGGGCGACUGAAGCGAGAAUAGCUCAAGAUGUUAAUCAAUGUGUUAUGCAUUGAAUUGUGGUCUUUUGAUAUUUGUGUUAAAGUGUGGAUGAAGUCUUCUGGAAAGGAGCGGCAAAGAGGGUGACACCCCCGUGAAUCUACGCUGUAUAACUUUUAUCAUUGAGUCGAGUUGCUUGGGAUUGCAGCUCUAAGUGGGUGGUAAAUUCCAUCUAAAGCUAAAUAUGGUUGGGAAACCGAUAGUGAACAAGUACCGUGAGGGAAAGAUGCAAAGAACUUUGAAAAGAGAGUUAAAGAGUACCUGAAAUUGCUGAAAGGGAAGCAAAGGAAACCAGUGAAUGUUAAAACAUAUUUGUUUUCUGGCUUGCUGGAAGACCGCUAUGCUUAACAAUGUCUUGGUUGGUUGGACUGAGGAAAAAUUUGUAGUUACUGUUAGUGAUCACAUAGUUUCUUGGUUUGACUGAGUUAAGGCUAAAUGGUUUUCUUUUCCCCGUCUUGAA
rnacentral:rRNA from 1 species